rnacentral:rRNA from 1 species
AUUGAACGCUGGCGGCAGGCCUAACACAUGCAAGUCGAGCGGAGCGGCGGACGGGUGUGUAAUGUCUGGUAAACUGCCUGAUGGAGGGGGAUAACUCCUGGAAACGGUAGCUAAUACCGCAUAACAUCAGAUGUGCCCCGAUGGGAUGAGCUAGUUGGUGGGGUAAAGGCCUACACAGGCGACGAUCCGUAACUGGUCUGAGAGGAUGAUCAGUCACACUGGAACUGCGACACGGUCCAGACUCCUACGGGAGUCAGCAGUGGGGAAUAUGGGACAAUGGGCGAAAGCCUGAUCCAGCCAUGCCGCGUGUGUGAAGAAGGUCUUCGGAUUGUAAAGCACUUUAAGUUGGGAGGCGUUACCAACAGAAUAAGCACCGGCUAACUUCGUGCCAGCCGCCGCGGUAAUAC